rnacentral:rRNA from 1 species
UACGGAGGAUGCAAGCGUUGUCCGGAAUCAUUGGGCGUAAAGGGUCCUGAGGUGGUUUGCUCAGUCCACUGUGAAAGUUCAGGGCUUACCCUUGAAAAUGCGGUGGAAACUAGUAGGCUAGAGUACGGUGGGGGCAGAGGGAAUUCCUGAUGUAGCGGUGAAAUGCAUAGAUAUCGGGAAGAACACCGAUGGCGAAGGCACUCUGCUGGGCCGACACUGACACUGAGGAGCGAAAGCGUGGGUAGCAAACAGG